UGGGGAAUAUUGGACAAUGGGCGAAAGCCUGAUCCAGCCAUGCCGCGUGUGUGAAGAAGGUCUUCGGAUUGUAAAGCACUUUAAGUUGGGAGGAAGGGCAUUAACCUAAUACGUUAGUGUUUUGACGUUACCGACAGAAUAAGCACCGGCUAACUCUGUGCCAGCCGCCGCGGUAAUACAGAGGGUGCAAGCGUUAAUCGGAAUUACUGGGCGUAAAGCGCGCGUAGGUGGUUUGUUAAGUUGGAUGUGAAAUCCCCGGGCUCAACCUGGGAACUGCAUUCAAAACUGACUGACUAGAGUAUGGUAGAGGGUGGUGGAAUUUCCUGUGUAGCGGUGAAAUGCGUAGAUAUAGGAAGGAACACCAGUGGCGAAGGCGACCACCUGGACUAAUACUGACACUGAGGUGCGAAAGCGUGGGGAGCAAACA
rnacentral:rRNA from 1 species